CCUACGGGAGGCAGCAGUAAGGAAUAUUGGUCAAUGGACGCAAGUCUGAACCAGCCAUGCCGCGUGAAGGAUUAAGGUCCUCUGGAUUGUAAACUUCUUUUAUCUGGGACGAAAAAAGGCGAUUCUUCGUCACUUGACGGUACCAGAUGAAUAAGCACCGGCUAACUCCGUGCCAGCAGCCGCGGUAAUACGGAGGGUGCAAGCGUUAUCCGGAUUCACUGGGUUUAAAGGGUGCGUAGGCGGGCAGGUAAGUCAGUGGUGAAAUCCCUAGAGCUUAACUCUAGAACUGCCAUUGAUACUAUCUGUCUUGAAUAUUGUGGAGGUAAGCGGAAUAUGUCAUGUAGCGGUGAAAUGCUUAGAUAUGACAUAGAACACCUAUUGCGAAGGCAGCUUACUACGCAUAUAUUGACGCUGAGGCACGAAAGCGUGGGGAUCAAACAGGAUUAGAUACCCUGGUAGUCCACGCCCUAAACGAUGAUUACUCGACAUUUGUGAUACACUAUAAGUGUCUGAGCGAAAGCAUUAAGUAAUCCACCUUGGGAAGUACGACCGCAAGGUUGAACUUCAAGGAUUGACGGNGNGAGAGNGCGAGGACGACGACGAGGAGGAG
rnacentral:rRNA from 1 species